GACUCUUUGAAGACAUCAGAUAAAUUUUGAAUGGUACAUAGAAGAUUGGCAUGGCCGAUGUGCAAGCAUGACACAUACAAACCGAGAAAUAAUCUAGUAAUAG
rnacentral:snRNA from 1 species